GCAUGAAAUCCAGGAAGUGCGAGAGGGACGUUGCUGCAGGAGCCAACUACUGAAGCAGUGGGUCGUCGUGCGAGAGUGUUUAAGUGGGAUUUAUCUGCGGAAUUGGACAUGUUGGAUGGCGAGCUAGAGCCUGAACUAGACUCUGAAGCUUUAUGCCUGGAAGCGAACCAACCGAACUGAAUCCACCCAACCGAGCCGGGCAGGCCGCCAGCAUGACACAAAGAAAAGGGCUCGGAUAAUCAAUCGGACAGAGCGUGUCAUAGGGAGUCCAACAAGCUAAAGAUGAUGUGAGAAAGGAGCGAUGCAGAAAGUGGAGACAAGUGUUGCAAGAAGAUAAGUGAUUUUUUUUUCUUUUUUUUUUUACACAACAGUUGAGCUGCUGGGGAUUGUGUGUAUUGUCAUGUUCCAUUUGUCAGGGUGUGAAGACUUUUUUUUUUUUCUUUCCCAGCGUCUUUCCUCCUCACUGUGUGCGGGGAGAUGCAGUAAGUCGUUGCUUUCCGAUCUUGCAAACGGGGACCGCUACAGGCCUGGUGGUGAGAGAAAAAAAAAAAAAACACAAAGGUGAGUAAGAAAAAUUAGAGACGGCAGGUGUCAGCGUGGCUUCAUUAAAUAUUUAGAGAGGACAGACCGGAUGUAAAGCAUCAGAGUUCUCCACUUUGGGUGAAUCUCACAGCCCUCAAUCAAUAGACUGAAAGCAAUCAGCAUUUUGUUUAAAGUGUAAACAUCAACUUUUGAUUAAUGGUGCCGUCAAGGCAGACCUCCUGCAGAAGCAACUGUGGAGAUUAAUGAGACACGGGCAUGAAUCAAAAUGUUUUUAUAUACCCCCGGAAAGCCUGUUUAUUUCUCUUUUAAACGACGCCCCGUUUGUUGAGAUCAUACAGUACAUUUUUAGGAACUUUGCCAAAUACACUGCAAAAAGUCAGUGAUCGAAAACAAAGAAAAACAUAUAAAAAUGAGGGGUAUUUUGCUUGAACUAAGUAAAAUUAUCUGCCAAUAGAACAAGAAAAUUUGGCUU